rnacentral:rRNA from 1 species
UACGAAGGGGGCUAGCGUUGCUCGGCAUUACUGGGCGUAAAGCGCACGUAUGCGGCUUUCUAAGUCGGGGGUGAAAUCCUGGAGCUCAACUCCAGAACUGCCUUCGAUACUGGAGAGCUUGAGUCCGGGAGAGGUGAGUGGAACUGCGAGUGUAGAGGUGAAAUUCGUAGAUAUUCGCAAGAACACCAGUGGCGAAGGCGGCUCACUGGCCCGGUACUGACGCUGAGGUGCGAAAGCGUGGGGAGCAAACAGG